rnacentral:rRNA from 1 species
AUAGCGUAUAUUAAAGUUGUUGCAGUUAAAAAGCUCGUAGUUGGAUUUCAGUCUUAAUUCGUCUGGCCCGCUCCCUUGAGGAGCCGAGUGCCGGUUGCGAAUUGGACUUCCUUCUAGCAUGAAACCUCUACCGUUAUGCGGCCGGGGGGGACAUCUGGAUCAUUUACUUUGAAGAAAUUAGAGUGUUCAAAGCAAGCUUACGCUGUGAAUAUAUUAGCAUGGAAUAAUAACAUAGGACUAGGGUUCUAUUUUGUUGGUUUCUAGAACCAAAGUAAUGAUUGAUAGGGACAGUUGGGGGUGCUGCUAUUAUAUGGCCAGAGGUGAAAUUCACGGAUUCAUAUAAGAGCAACUUAUGCGAAAGCAUUCACCAAGGAUGUCUUCUUUAAUCAAGAACGAAAGUUGGGGGAUCGAAGACGAUCAGAUACCGUCGUAGUCUCAACCAUAAACUAUGCCGACUAGGGAUUGGUGGACGUUGAAUUUCCGACUCCAUCAGCACCUCAUGAGAAAUCAAAGUCUUUGGGUUCCGGGGGGAGUAUGGUCGCAAGGCUGA